UAAAUAUUAUGUUAGUUUUUACGUACCACCUAUAUCUACAGCUAAAUAUUUUACAAUUGUUAAUUAGUCUGUUAUGAUUUUAGCGUUGCCGAUUCAUAUAAUAGAUAAACUGAUAGUCUAUUGACUUAUGUGCAACGAAACAAACGACAUAGGAAGUGUUUUUGCAUUUAAAAUAUUAAAAUAAAACCUAGUAUAAGAAAUAUCAUAACAUUGAAUAUGAUAUAAUAAAUAAAGAACAAAUAUUUGUAACUUUAAAUUUUAAAUUAAGAGUAUUACACCCAAAGGUAAAUCGUUAAUUUUACUUGUUGUUGGUCAGUAAAAAUCCUUGGAUCCAGUUAUUGUUUUUACAAUUUUUGUAAAUUUAUCUAUACUUUUUUCUCCCUCUCUAACAGAGAAUUACAUUGUUCUUGUUCAUCACGAUCAAAUCUAAUGAAAAUGCAUAUCUUGUCCUCGUAAAAUAGUUUCACCUGAUGAGGUACUAUUAUAUUCUUGGUCAACAAACUAUUAAUAUGAAUUAGUGAUUACUCGUUCGUAGUUUACCGGAUAUGGGAUUGCAGUGUUUCCGACUAGGAAAUACAUGUAUUCUUAUAACUAUAUGUGUUUGAUUAUGUUAUUAAUAUUUUCUUGAUAACAGUGGCAACUUUUUAAAGAUUGACAAAAAAAAAAACAUUAUAAGAAGAUAUUUUAUUUUUGGCCGGUUUACACGCAACGACUUAUUAUACGUUUUAUCGAAUACGGCUAAUCGUAUCAAGUAAAAAGGAGCGUGUAUACAGUAAAUCGUACGUCUUAUCGAAUCGGAAUGAAAUCCAAGAUUGGAUCGAUAGACUAAUAGGCGCAGAUUCAUUUUACGUGAAGUUGAACGACAUAUCGUCACAUGAACAUUAUGGUAAACCACAAUAGUGCUUCUUCCAUAACGUCAAACAUCACUAAAAUAACUGAACACUAUUGAAGAAUGAACAGAAAUACAGUUGAAACUGGGAUGGAAAACUGAGUAAAAGUUGGAACGUGUAAACACUUUAUAAAAUGUACGUCUUAUUGUUCAUUUUAUAUGUCCAGCAAAACGUGCAAUAAGUCGUUGCGUGUAGACCGGGCUCAAAAGCGAUCUACAACCAAAUCAAGUGCAAUUUAAUCAACUGAAGCUGUUUCGGUCAUCUAAUUUGGUAAUAUAAAAAAAAAAUUAAUUACCUAUAUAGUAAUUGAAAUCGUUAUCUACGGCGGACGCGCUCGGCCGUCCGUCCCGUGAUCGGCUAUUAAUCGCGAAACAUAUUCAAAACCCACCAUGCCUACGAAUAAAACUAAAACUGUCGUAUCUUCGUUAAUCAUUUCUAAAUCACGUAUGCAUAGCGUGCUAAAUAAAUCACCAAACCAAUUUUCAAAUUCUGAGUCCAACGACGGCUGGAUUACCCCCCUCCUGAAAAACGCCAACUGGCAUCCCCAUCUACUCCAAAUUAAAGACAAAAACCAUCAACAAAAAUAUUUGUUACUUAAAAAUGAUUUUUCCUAUUUUCGGAUCCGACAGACUUAUCCAGAAAUAAUCCAGAACCCGUAAAAAUUGACUAAGAACCUGAGCACAUAGAAAACUCUUCUGCCCUUACCAAACCUCCAUCACCUAUUUUUAUUCAGGUAGUUAAUGAUUAUAAGGCCUUCUGUGAUAACAUAAAGCAAAUCACGAAAGGAGAACCUUUUUUAUGUAAAAGUUCUAUCAACGGCAUCAAACUGUCCACAAGUUCACCAGAUUUGUAUGUAUCUGUCAUUAAAUUUCUUCAAACCAAUAAAGCUGCUUAUCAUACUUAUCAGCUAAAACAAGACAGAUCCUAUAGAAUAGAUAUAAAAAAUCUUCACCACUCCACUCCAAUUAUUAAAAUAAAAAAAGGACUCUCUGCUCUCCUAACAUUACUAAUAUUCUACAUAGAAACACCAAACAACCUCUCCCGCUUUUUUUCGUCGAUUUGGAGCCUGACAUCAACAAUAAAGAUAUAUAUAAAAUUGACCACCUCUAUUAUACUAAGGUAAAAAUUGAAGAGCCCCGAACAAACAACCAACCAAUAUAAUGUCUCCGUUGCCAAGGCUUCGGCCAUACAAAAUCUUACUGUAACCACCCAAAAUGUAUUCGCUGUGGAGACUUUCACACCUCAGAAAACUGCGAAAAAUCUCCCAACCAACCAGCUACAUGCGCACUAUGUAGUGGAGACCAUCCGGCCAAUUAUAGAGGCUUCCCUGUGUUAAAAAAAAUUCAAGCUGCUCACCAUCUUAAGAAAUCUAAUCCAAUACAUAAUAACCUGAAACAAGCAUACUCUAAUUUUAAACCUAAUAAUGUAAAAUCUACUUCCAAUAUGAACUUCCAACCUAAAAAAAUCAUAUGCUCAAGCUACAACAACUGAUUUACCAAGCCAAGACAUCUCUCUUACCACUUCUCAAAACCCUCACCGCCUAGCCAAUCAAAUGGUGCUAUUUCUCAAUAAUUUCUAAGCGACCAUCAAUCCACUAAUCUCUCUACUUACUACUCUAAUAGAAAAACUAAUGCUGUCCAAUAGUAAAUAGAUAAAAUAAUAUUCCUCACUCUAUCUUAAUCUUUCAAUGGAACGCCAAUGAAUUAGAACGUCAAAAAAAUGAACUUUGUGCUUUCCUCUCAACAAACUCUAUUGAUACAGGGUCCGGCAAAAAAAUCUCCUGUAUUUUUAGACGUUUAUAUUUAAAGCUAUUUAUAGAUAAAACGGUAUACCGGGUAUAGAUAGAUAGAGGUCUACGUGCCAUUUUCAAUAAUCAUAAUGUCAUGGCAUGGUGAGCAACACACGUUUGUCGUGGAGGAAUCUGAAUUUUUUGGAAGAAAAUGGGCAAAAAGUUACAGUUAAUGCGGAUCGCUACUAUCACAUAAUUGAGACCUCUCUCCGAUCAAACUUAAAUCAGUUUACUAGGAACGAUGAAGAAGUCUGGUUCCAACAAGAUGGAGUCACAGCACACAAUUCACGACGUUCACUUAAAAUUUUGAGAUAGAUGUUUCCAAGACAUCUUUUCUCUUUACGAGGAGACAUCACCUGGCCCCCAAAGUCCCCCGAUUUAUCACCUUGUGGUUUUUUUUCUUUCGGGACAUUUAAAGGCCCUAGUCUACACUCAUCGCCCAACAUCUUUGGAAUCACUUAAGGAGGCAAUCACUCAGGAAGCAGCAGCUAUUACACUACAAAUGACUCUACGAGCAAUGGAAAACUUCCGGGAAAGGCUUCGUAAGUGCAUUAAUAAUAAAGGACAAUAUU